AGUGAACGCUGGCGGUAGGCCUAACACAUGCAAGUCGAACGGCAGCACAGUAAGAGCUUGCUCUUACGGGUGGCGAGUGGCGGACGGGUGAGGAAUACAUCGGAAUCUACUUUUUCGUGGGGGAUAACGUAGGGAAACAUACGCUAAUACCGCAUACGACCUACGGGUGAAAGCAGGGGAUCUUCGGACCUUGCGCGAUUGAAUGAGCGGAUGUCGGAUUAGCUAGUUGGCGGGGUAAAGGCCCACCAAGGCGACGAUCCGUAGCUGGUCUGAGAGGAUGAUCAGCCACACUGGAACUGAGACACGGUCCAGACUCCUACGGGAGGCAGCAGUGGGGAAUAUUGGACAAUGGGCGCAAGCCUGAUCCAGCCAUACCGCGUGGGUGAAGAAGGCCUUCGGGUUGUAAAGCCCUUUUGUUGGGAAAGAAAAGCAGCAGGUUAAUACCCCGCUGUUCUGACGGUACCCAAAGAAUAAGCACCGGCUAACUUCGUG
rnacentral:rRNA from 1 species